UUCUUAUCCAGAGAGACGGAGGGACUGGCCCUGUGAUGUCUCGGCAGCGGACUCAUGAUGAGUGCUGUGCCACAUCCAGCAAGCGUAAUGCUUGAAAGAUAAGAG
rnacentral:ncRNA from 2 species